rnacentral:lncRNA from 1 species
UUCUGAGCGUGACUUGGGUUAGAUCUCUUGCGAGAGAUUUGUUUUUAUGUUUUUAUGUUUCGGCCUUAAACGGUCUUAUUUCGUAUUUCGGGACUGGCCUUGUGUGGCUUUGAAUCCCUGCUGCUCUGCGGCUUUUUUUUUAUGAUAAGAUAAUUAAAUGCCGCUUUUUUUUAUGAGUUAGUGUAUAGUGUGAAGGAAGGUGAUGAGUUGUCGUCUCAUAUCCUUCUUCGAU